GGGUUGUGAGGUUAAGCGACUAAGCGUACACGGUGGAUGCCCUGGCAGUCAGAGGCGAUGAAGGACGUGCUAAUCUGCGAUAAGCGUCGGUAAGGUGAUAUGAACCGUUAUAACCGGCGAUUUCCGAAUGGGGAAACCCAGUGUGUUUCGACACACUAUCAUUAACUGAAUCCAUAGGUUAAUGAGGCGAACCGGGGGAACUGAAACAUCUAAGUACCCCGAGGAAAAGAAAUCAACCGAGAUUCCCCCAGUAGCGGCGAGCGAACGGGGAGCAGCCCAGAGCCUGAAUCAGUGUGUGUGUUAGUGGAAGCGUCUGGAAAGGCGCGCGAUACAGGGUGACAGCCCCGUACACAAAAAUGCACAUGCUGUGAGCUCGAUGAGUAGGGCGGGACACGUGGUAUCCUGUCUGAAUAUGGGGGGACCAUCCUCCAAGGCUAAAUACUCCUGACUGACCGAUAGUGAACCAGUACCGUGAGGGAAAGGCGAAAAGAACCCCGGCGAGGGGAGUGAAAAAGAACCUGAAACCGUGUACGUACAAGCAGUGGGAGCACGCUUAGGCGUGUGACUGCGUACCUUUUGUAUAAUGGGUCAGCGACUUAUAUUCUGUAGCAAGGUUAACCGAAUAGGGGAGCCGAAGGGAAACCGAGUCUUAACUGGGCGUUAAGUUGCAGGGUAUAGACCCGAAACCCGGUGAUCUAGCCAUGGGCAGGUUGAAGGUUGGGUAACACUAACUGGAGGACCGAACCGACUAAUGUUGAAAAAUUAGCGGAUGACUUGUGGCUGGGGGUGAAAGGCCAAUCAAACCGGGAGAUAGCUGGUUCUCCCCGAAAGCUAUUUAGGUAGCGCCUCGUGAAUUCAUCUCCGGGGGUAGAGCACUGUUUCGGCAAGGGGGUCAUCCCGACUUACCAACCCGAUGCAAACUGCGAAUACCGGAGAAUGUUAUCACGGGAGACACACGGCGGGUGCUAACGUCCGUCGUGAAGAGGGAAACAACCCAGACCGCCAGCUAAGGUCCCAAAGUCAUGGUUAAGUGGGAAACGAUGUGGGAAGGCCCAGACAGCCAGGAUGUUGGCUUAGAAGCAGCCAUCAUUUAAAGAAAGCGUAAUAGCUCACUGGUCGAGUCGGCCUGCGCGGAAGAUGUAACGGGGCUAAACCAUGCACCGAAGCUGCGGCAGCGACGCUUAUGCGUUGUUGGGUAGGGGAGCGUUCUGUAAGCCUGUGAAGGUGUGCUGUGAGGCAUGCUGGAGGUAUCAGAAGUGCGAAUGCUGACAUAAGUAACGAUAAAGCGGGUGAAAAGCCCGCUCGCCGGAAGACCAAGGGUUCCUGUCCAACGUUAAUCGGGGCAGGGUGAGUCGACCCCUAAGGCGAGGCCGAAAGGCGUAGUCGAUGGGAAACAGGUUAAUAUUCCUGUACUUGGUGUUACUGCGAAGGGGGGACGGAGAAGGCUAUGUUGGCCGGGCGACGGUUGUCCCGGUUUAAGCGUGUAGGCUGGUUUUCCAGGCAAAUCCGGAAAAUCAAGGCUGAGGCGUGAUGACGAGGCACUACGGUGCUGAAGCAACAAAUGCCCUGCUUCCAGGAAAAGCCUCUAAGCAUCAGGUAACAUCAAAUCGUACCCCAAACCGACACAGGUGGUCAGGUAGAGAAUACCAAGGCGCUUGAGAGAACUCGGGUGAAGGAACUAGGCAAAAUGGUGCCGUAACUUCGGGAGAAGGCACGCUGAUAUGUAGGUGAAGUCCCUCGCGGAUGGAGCUGAAAUCAGUCGAAGAUACCAGCUGGCUGCAACUGUUUAUUAAAAACACAGCACUGUGCAAACACGAAAGUGGACGUAUACGGUGUGACGCCUGCCCGGUGCCGGAAGGUUAAUUGAUGGGGUUAGCCGCAAGGCGAAGCUCUUGAUCGAAGCCCCGGUAAACGGCGGCCGUAACUAUAACGGUCCUAAGGUAGCGAAAUUCCUUGUCGGGUAAGUUCCGACCUGCACGAAUGGCGUAAUGAUGGCCAGGCUGUCUCCACCCGAGACUCAGUGAAAUUGAACUCGCUGUGAAGAUGCAGUGUACCCGCGGCAAGACGGAAAGACCCCGUGAACCUUUACUAUAGCUUGACACUGAACAUUGAGCCUUGAUGUGUAGGAUAGGUGGGAGGCUUAGAAGUGUGGACGCCAGUCUGCAUGGAGCCGACCUUGAAAUACCACCCUUUAAUGUUUGAUGUUCUAACGUUGACCCGUAAUCCGGGUUGCGGACAGUGUCUGGUGGGUAGUUUGACUGGGGCGGUCUCCUCCUAAAGAGUAACGGAGGAGCACGAAGGUUGGCUAAUCCUGGUCGGACAUCAGGAGGUUAGUGCAAUGGCAUAAGCCAGCUUGACUGCGAGCGUGACGGCGCGAGCAGGUGCGAAAGCAGGUCAUAGUGAUCCGGUGGUUCUGAAUGGAAGGGCCAUCGCUCAACGGAUAAAAGGUACUCCGGGGAUAACAGGCUGAUACCGCCCAAGAGUUCAUAUCGACGGCGGUGUUUGGCACCUCGAUGUCGGCUCAUCACAUCCUGGGGCUGAAGUAGGUCCCAAGGGUAUGGCUGUUCGCCAUUUAAAGUGGUACGCGAGCUGGGUUUAGAACGUCGUGAGACAGUUCGGUCCCUAUCUGCCGUGGGCGCUGGAGAACUGAGGGGGGCUGCUCCUAGUACGAGAGGACCGGAGUGGACGCAUCACUGGUGUUCGGGUUGUCAUGCCAAUGGCACUGCCCGGUAGCUAAAUGCGGAAGAGAUAAGUGCUGAAAGCAUCUAAGCACGAAACUUGCCCCGAGAUGAGUUCUCCCUGACUCCCUGAGAGUCCUGAAGGAACGUUGAAGACGACGACGUUGAUAGGCCGGGUGUGUAAGCGCAGCGAUGCGUUGAGCUAACCGGUACUAAUGAACCGUGAGGCUUAACCUUACAACGCCGAAG
rnacentral:rRNA from 1 species